CAGUCGAGGGGCAGCAUUGGAGUAGCAAUACUUCAGAUGGCGACCGGCGCACGGGUGAGUAACACGUAUCCAACCUGCCGCUUACUCGGGGAUAGCCUUUCGAAAGAAAGAUUAAUACCCGAUGGUAUAAAGAGUUCGCAUGUUCUCUUUAUUAAAGAAUUUCGGUAAGCGAUGGGGAUGCGUUCCAUUAGAUAGUUGGCGGGGUAACGGCCCACCAAGUCUACGAUGGAUAGGGGUUCUGAGAGGAAGGUCCCCCACAUUGGAACUGAGACACGGUCCAAACUCCUACGGGAGGCAGCAGUGAGGAAUAUUGGUCAAUGGACGAGAGUCUGAACCAGCCAAGUAGCGUGAAGGAUGACUGCCCUAUGGGUUGUAAACUUCUUUUAUAAGGGAAUAAAGUGAGGGACGUGUCCCUUUUUGUAUGUACCUUAUGAAUAAGGAUCGGCUAACUCCGUGCCAGCAGCCGCGGUAAUACGGAGGAUCCGAGCGUUAUCCGGAUUUAUUGGGUUUAAAGGGAGCGUAGGUUGACGUAUAAGUCAGCUGUGAAAGUUUACGGCUCAACCGUGAAAUUGCAGUUGAUACUGUAUGUCUUGAGUGUACAAGAGGUGGGCGGAAUUCGUGGUGUAGCGGUGAAAUGCUUAGAUAUCACGAAGAACUCCAAUUGCGAAGGCAGCUCACUGGGGUACAACUGACACUGAGGCUCGAAAGUGUGGGUAUCAAACAGGAUUAGAUACCCUGGUAGUCCACACAGUAAACGAUGAAUACUCGCUGUUUGCGAUAUACAGUAAGCGGCCAAGCGAAAGCAUUAAGUAUUCCACCUGGGGAGUACGCCGGCAACGGUGAAACUCAAAGGAAUUGACGGGGGCCCGCACAAGCGGAGGAACAUGUGGUUUAAUUCGAUGAUACGCGAGGAACCUUACCCGGGCUUGAAUUGCAGAGGAACAUAGUUGAAAGAUUAUGGCCGCAAGGUCUCUGUGAAGGUGCUGCAUGGUUGUCGUCAGCUCGUGCCGUGAGGUGUCGGCUUAAGUGCCAUAACGAGCGCAACCCUUAUCAUUAGUUACUAACAGGUCAUGCUGAGGACUCUAGUGAGAC
rnacentral:rRNA from 1 species